rnacentral:rRNA from 1 species
AUGAGAGUGGCGCACGGGUGCGUAACGCGUGAGCAACCUACCCAUAUCAGGGGGAUAGCCUCUCGAAAGAGAGAUUAACACCGCAUAACAUCAUUUACCGGCAUCGGAUUAUGAUCAAAUAUUUAUAGGAUAUGGAUGGGCUCGCGUGACAUUAGCUAGUUGGAGAGGUAACGGCUCACCAAGGCUACGAUGUCUAGGGGCUCUGAGAGGAGAAUCCCCCACACUGGUACUGAGACACGGACCAGACUCCUACGGGAGGCAGCAGUAAGGAAUAUUGGUCAAUGGAGGCAACUCUGAACCAGCCAUGCCGCGUGCAGGAUGACUGCCCUAUGGGUUGUAAACUGCUUUUGUCAGGGAAUAAACCUUUCUACGUGUAGAAAGCUGAAUGUACCUGAAGAAUAAGGAUCGGCUAACUCCGUGCCAGCAGCCGCGGUAAUACGGAGGAUCCAAGCGUUAUCCGGAUUUAUUGGGUUUAAAGGGUGCGUAGGCGGUCCUAUAAGUCAGUGGUGAAAGACGGCAGCUUAACUGUCGCAGUGCCUUUGAUACUGUAGGACUUGAAUCUAUUUGAAGUGGGCGGAAUAAGACAAGUAGCGGUGAAAUGCAUAGAUAUGUCUUAGAACUCCGAUUGCGAAGGCAGCUCACUAAGUUAGUAUUGACGCUGAUGCACGAAAGCGUGGGGAUCAAACAGGAUUAGAUACCCUGGUAGUCCACGCCCUAAACGAUGAUAACUCGAUGUUUGCGAUACACAGUAAGCGUCCAAGCGAAAGCGUUAAGUUAUCCACCUGGGGAGUACGGUCGCAAGAUUGAAACUCAAAGGAAUUGACGGGGGCCCGCACAAGCGGAGGAGCAUGUGGUUUAAUUCGAUGAUACGCGAGGAACCUUACCCGGGCUUGAAAGUUAGUGAAUGAUCCAGAGACGGAUCAGUCCUUCGGGACACGAAACUAGGUGCUGCAUGGCUGUCGUCAGCUCGUGCCGUGAGGUGUUGGGUUAAGUCCCGCAACGAGCGCAACCCCUAUGUUUAGUUGCCAGC